rnacentral:rRNA from 1 species
CGCGUAGGUGGUUCUGUGUGUCUACCGUGAAAGCGUACGGCUCAACCGUAUUUUGUCGGUAGAAACCGCAGGACUUGAGGCUGGGAGGGGCUGGUGGAAUUCCCUGUGUAGCGGUGAAAUGCGUAGAGAUGGGGGAGAACACUCGUGGCGAAGGCGGCCAGCUAGACCAGUUCUGACACUGAGGCGCGAUAGCGUGGGGAGCAAACA